GUCCCUUCCUAAGCCAAGGCGCAGCACGCAGGUGCGGGCAGUAGACGCGCGCGUGCGCCCAGGGGCCGCUUAUCUCCAGGCCGCCUCUGCGGGUCCCCUGCAACGUGCGGGCGCGGCCAGAAGGAGGCCGGCGCGGAGCGGAGCCCGGGGAACGUGAGUCCUGACUGGCCGUUCCCCUCCGCUCUCACAGCCGGGCUCCGCGCUGCGGACAGAUGCAGAUACCGAGGCACUGAGACUGCCAGCAGCGUGCAAUGGUGGGAAUGUCCCCAAGGCAGAAGUGAAUCAAGAUUCUUGAAUGAUGAGAGCUCCAUUGAAAGAAAAAAGAUGCACUAAGUGAGGAAACCAACAUUGAACACCUACUCUACCAGGUGAACAGGGUAAGAAGUGGAAAACACCCCAGGCCGAGGCAGCGCCUGCAGCUUGCUUUGUUUUGUUUUGAAAUUGCUUGAGAGAAAUCUUCCUUGUACCUCCUAAGCUGCCUGUCAUAUGUGAAAAGCCGGAACGGGACUCUUAAGAUUCUAUAAAUGAAUUCGUUUUGGAACACAGGGUUCUCUGCUGGGCGGGAAGGAACUGUAGCGAUCACCGGGUCCAGCAUGUCACUUGCAGAGAGGCCCGUGAGCUGGACCUGGCAGCCGUAGGCCACUCUAACCUCUGCCGCAUGGCUCUCUCACACUCUCCCAAGCACUCCAGGCUCAGCUGAACAGCUCACACUUGUUUUCGGCAGCGUGAAACUCAACUCGAUGCAUCAAUACACAAUCGAUAGCUUCAGAGCUGGGCCCAGGUGAGCCCUCCCCAGACUUCCCUGGCCUCUCUGCUGAGCCCCAGCCAGUCCCAAGCAUCAGCCCUAGGUCAGGAUGGUACCUGCCCUCCAGUCUUUAUCCCCGGAGCUCCUUCAGAAGAUAGGUGCUGUCGUCCCUGCUUUUCAAUAUGGACAUCAAGGCUGGGAGAGGUUAGUGUGUCUUGGGUCCACAGCUGGGAAAUGAGGCUGACCACAGCCCAGGACUGACUGGCUGGGUGCUUCAGUGUCAUCAGCUUCCUAGGUUGUGGGAAAGAGUAAGAAAAAGCAAGCACAAAGUCUAGCCCAGUGUCUUGUACACAGUGGGCGCUUUCAGAAAGCUCAGUCCCAUCCCUGUGAUGUCUUCUCUGAGUCCUCCUUCAUCAUCAGUUAAACCUGAUGGAAACAGGGUCUAUAACAUGCAGAUUUAUUACCAUUUGGUUUACCUAAGUAACCUGUCCUUCAGAGGGACUUGGUAACCCAGCGAAUGAAUUUCAAACUAUCUGGCACUUGAGUGGGUGGAGGAUAGUACUUUGCAACUGAGAGCCCAAGAAGCUGUUAAACACUUAAAAUGUACAGGGAGGAAUUGUUCA
rnacentral:lncRNA from 1 species